rnacentral:rRNA from 1 species
AUGAACGCUGGCGGCGUGCCUAAUACAUGCAAGUCGAGCGAACAGACGAGGAGCUUGCUCCUCUGACGUUAGCGGCGGACGGGUGAGUAACACGUGGCUAACCUACCUAUAAGACUGGGAUAACUUCGGGAAACCGGAGCUAAUACCGGAUAAUAUAUUGAACCGCAUGGUUCAAUAGUGAAAGACGGUUUUGCUGUCACUUAUAGAUGGAUCCGCGCCGCAUUAGCUAGUUGGUAAGGUAACGGCUUACCAAGGCGACGAUGCGUAGCCGACCUGAGAGGGGGAUCGGCCACACUGGAACUGAGACACGGUCCAGACUCCUACGGGAGGCAGCAGUAGGGAAUCUUCCGCAAUGGGCGAAAGCCUGACGGAGCAACGCCGCGUGAGUGAUGAAGGUCUUCGGAUCGUAAAACUCUGUUAUGAGGGAAGAACAAAUGUGUAAGUAACUAUGCACGUCUUGACGGUACCUAAUCAGAAAGCCACGGCUAACUACGUG